rnacentral:misc_RNA from 1 species
GAUGAAGAACGCAGUGAAAUGCGAUAAGUAAUGUGAAUUGCAGAAUUCAGUGAAUCAUCGAAUCUUUGAACGCACAUUGUGCCCGCUGGUAUUCCGGCGGGCAUGCCUGUUCGAGCGUCAUUUCAACCCUCAAGCUCUCCGGAGUUUGGUGUUGGGGCGCCUGGGGCUUUUCGACCUCAGGGCCCUCAAGUCCAUCGGCGGGACCGCCAGGACACUGAGCGCAGUAGUAUUAUUUCGCUCGGUAGGAUCUUCCACGGCGGGUCGAUCUGGCCGCUAAACCCCCCAAUUCUCACCAAAGGUUGACCUCGGAUCAGGUAGGAAUACCCGCUGAACUUAAGCAUAUCAAUAAGCGGAGGA